UUCCCUCCCAGUGGAAGGACUUCCUCAACCUGUCUUUGAUUCUGUUCACCCCAGAAUGGCCACUGGGAUGAUCACGAGCUAAGCUUAACAGCUUUACCCUGUACCUAGUUGGAACUACCAAAUGUCUUUGAGGAUGCCAGUCUUCCUGGUGUCCACCAGAAAGAGUCUCCUUGUAUAAAAUAGUUCUCUUUUUAACA